UAAUCAAGAUUUUUAUCAAGUUUAAAUCUUUUCGGCAUUCUGUGCAUAACUUGAUAAAACUAAAAAGCUUUUACACCCUGUGCUUUUCCCCACACUAUGGUGAAAAUCGUAAUGUAAACAGAGCUCAGCUGUUUAGUGCAAGAAACUGCCGAAUGGAGUCCUCAGAAACAAAAACAAAACACGAUCGUGCUACGCAGGAGCAGUUGCAGCGUUUUGUCUCAUUUGUCCGGGCUAAUCCUGAUAUGGGGAAAGGAAAGAAUAACCCGAAGUCGCCACAGAAAAUGCAGUGCUUAUGGAAUCAGUUGGCGGACGAGUUGAAUGCAUUGAGGGGACCAACACGCACCGCAGUAAAGUGGAAAGAGACCCUCGGAGUUUGGAAGAGCCAAUUGCGUACGCGAGCACGCAGAUUAAAAAUGAGUCAAAGGAUUACUGGUGGCGGUCCAGGUUGCAAACAGCUGAGCGAAUUUGAAGAGCGUGCUUUGGCCACUUUUGGUUCGGCUGCAGUUGGUGGCGUAGGUGUUGAAAGUUUUGAGCUAAGGCCAUCAAUGUCUGAAGAGUUAUUGGUGGAGUGCCCCGCGUCUACAAUGGCGAGUACAUUGCCGAUUCCGGCACCACAGAGCCCAGCACUGUUAUUGAACCCUUCACCAUCGCCGGCCGUUGCACCAAUAUCAAUCAUUGUGCCAUCGCAAAGCGUUUACCACUGUUGAGUCCCACAUUAUCGCCGACCACCGCACCGAUAUCAAGCAUUGCAAUAUCGCCGAGCGCUACACAGUUGUUGAGUUCUUUACCGUCGCCGCAUGCAUCAACGUCGUUUGACGUGGAAAUUCCAAAUGAUACCCUGUUGGAUGUCGGCUCAUCGCGUCCAUCACGUGGGGAACGAAAAAAACUUAUGAAUGCCCUCAUUGCUAAUAUAGCAAAAAGAGGUACCAUCGAAGAACAGAGGCAACGUCGCGACGAGGAGCAACGCCAGGAGCACCUUGAAACGAUGCAGGCUAUCAAAGGGCUAACGAGCUGUGUGGCUGAGCUAAUACAGGUUUUGAAACCAAAUUAAAUAAACUUGCCAAACAAGUUUUAACAAGUGCUGAAAUCUACUUAAAGUACCUGCCAAAAUUGUUGAUGUUAAUUUUUAUUUGGCAAUGUUUUAUAAAAAUAUACAGUGACCAAACAAUAUUGUACAGGGAUGUGCCUAAUAUGUUCAUAAUGUUUUGAAUUAGGAAUUUUAUUCGGCAUUUUUUUAUAAAAGUAUGACUCAUCUAACAAAAUCGAAACUUUAAACUUUAUGCAAAAAAUAGAAACUUUUAACAAAGUACAAACGUUUUAAUUAGAAUUUAUAGAAAAAAUAA